rnacentral:lncRNA from 1 species
AAGAAAGAAUAAGAUAAGCUGAUUAUUAUUAUAUUCACAGCCCCAAAUGAACAUUAGUAUGAUGGAUUCAGUAAGACAGGGGCAUAUGGUUAUUGGCACUGUGAACUGUAAAUGAGCAAAGACAAUACUACUGCUUUCAAUCUGUAGUUUUUGUACUUUGUGAACAAUCACCAUCUUAUUUAUUAGUGUUCAUCGCCCUCUUCUGGUCAUAUAUUGCAAUUUUUCACAUAUUUGAAUGGAGGGAAAAAGAAUGGAAGCAAAUGAAAGAAAGAAAUUAGCAAAACAAUUUUGGCUAUUAAACUCUGAUGCACAGAAUAACUGAGUUUUCCCUAAGACUUAUGCGCAGAGAGUUUCGCACAUGUUGGUCAUGAAGAAAUCAGCACAAAAAGCAAAAGUAGCUAUUCACUUUGGGAAUUAAUAACCUAAAAUCACCAGAGCUUGGAAACUAAGUAGGCUGCUGGAGAAGACCAGGUUAUAUCCACAGGAAGGCAAUGGCAUUCUAUCUCUGGGUACUUCUUGCCUAAGUAAACCCUAUGAAAUUCAUGGAGUUGCCAUAGUUUAACAGGCAACUUGAAAGCACAUUCUAAUAUAAUAUAAUCCCCCUACCCAUGGGGAAUACUUUUGUGGAUAUGUGAAACUGUGAAUAAUAGUAAAUUCUAUUGUACUCGUCUUAUGGAAAUGUGCCUACUAACCAUUUUGGCAAAAGAAACAAAUCAAAAGUGCAUAUUAGAACAAUGUCUUCUUUAGUCUAACUAAAAAGGCCACAACGUAGGAAUGUGCCACUUUGAGUUUUCCACAACUCUUCAGAUUAGAUAGUAAACAAACCAAGAUAUUAAAAGACUGUAGCCAUCAAGUUUGUAUUUAGCCAUAAUCUUAAAAUGGAACAAUGAAAACAAAAUAGCUCCCUGGAUCACCCAAAACGAUGCUUUAUCAUCAAGAAAUAUCUCACGGCCUUUACAGAAAACAUCUAGAGGUAGGCAUUCCUUUAUGCCUGAAGUGCCACUUCUGACCUUUUUGAGUGUCUGGACGAGGAAAUGACAGUGACCAAGAUUAGCUGGCCUCCUGAGUUGGCAUUGAUGCUUUUCCCUCUCUGAGGAACAACUCUCUUGACUUAUCAAUGGGUUAUAUUAAAAUCCAUAAUUUUGACCAUAAAAUCUCCCAUUUAUGUAUAAGAUAAAGGUUUCCCCUUGACAUUAAGUGUAGUUGAGUCUGACUCUGGGGGAUGGUGCUCAUCUCCAUUUCUAAGCCAAAGAUCCGGCGUUGUCUGUAGACACC